rnacentral:misc_RNA from 1 species
GGUCAAAGGGCUUUCAAAAGAAGAGCUUGAGGCUCGUAGUGAUUUAGUUUAUACACUCAAAGACAGGAUUGAAGCGAUCCCAGAUGGAAGUACUAGCACAGCAAAACAAACCAGUGAUUGGGCUCCUUCAACCUCUCAUAAGGGAAUCAAAAUUGACUCAACAUAUGAUGGUAGAUUUGAUAGUGAAUAUUUCCAACAAACUGAAGA